GGCUGGCGACCUAUUACGCACGGGUGAGUAACACGUAUGCAACCUACCCAUAACAGGGGGAUAACCCGGAGAAAUUCGGACUAAUACCCCAUAACACAGGGAUGCCGCAUGGCAAUAUUUGUUAAAGAAGCGAUUUGGUUAUGGAUGGGCAUGCGCAGGAUUAGGUACGAUUGGCGGGGUCACAGCACCACCAAGCCGACGAAUCCUUAGGGGAACUGAGAGGUUGGUCCCCCACACUGGUACUGAGACAGGGACCAGACUCCAUACGGGAGGCAGCAGCUGAGGAAUAUUGGUCAAUGGUCGAGAGACUGAACCAGCCAUGUCAGCGUGCAGGACUAAUGCCCUAUGGGUUUAAACACUGCUUUAUAUACGAGGGUAAAAGAGGCUAUGUAUAGACCUAUUGCCAAGAUAUCGUAUGAAUAAGGAUCGGCUAACUCCGUGCACACGACA
rnacentral:rRNA from 1 species